rnacentral:sRNA from 26 species
CAGCCAGCGAGACAUGUAUUCCAAAUGCGUUUAAAAAGCGCGGAAAUCCGCCAGCAGACCGCUAAUGCAGCGUUAAUACUUGAGUCACUGGCUAGGCAAUCCCCCCACUGCCUGGCCAGAUGAGGUCGCCUGGAUUGCGAUUUCAUACUCCUAAUGGUCUUGGCCCGGUUUCUCAGGAAUCCGG